rnacentral:lncRNA from 1 species
AUGAGCGCCGUGGCUGCGGCGGCACUGGGUGCUGCGAGGCGUGGGGACGAGCUGCCCCGGUUUGAUGGAGACGAGCUGACCUGUAGGGAGAGAGGGAAAGGUCAGCCACAUGCGGUGGCCAGAUUUCUGCUCGCUGCCGGCACAUGCUGCUACAAUAUUGAUCCGCCGAGAAAGAUAAACAUAAAAGCUGGGUCCCGGCUCCUGCAUGCUAAUGAACGCAGGUUCCGGGCUUUAAUUGUUGGCGGCUCCCGAUUUCCACCCUCCGUGGGGCAAAUUUCGCCCCUUUGGUUUUCUUUUGUUUUAUUCGCUUUAGCUCCCUUCCCUUCCUCGUCUCUCGGUGUCGUUUCUCUCCUCUUCUUUUUUUUUUUCUUUUUUUUUUUUUUUUCCCCCGAUGGCCGUCGGAAACCUCCGCAGCAUCUCCCUUCCCCUGGCACCGGGCGCGCUCCCGCACCCGGGGGGCAGCCGCCGGACCCCGCGUGGGAAAAACGCGUGGGAAUUUUUUUUUGGGGGGUGGAAAAGGGGCUCCACCGGGGCUCCAUCUUUCGGCUUUCUGCCUCGCUGCUCGCUUCAUUCCUCCGCAGAGCAGCCCCGCAGCCGCCGCCCGGCCGCCCCGCUCCCCUGCCGGCCGCGGGGGGGUCCCCGCUUCCCCGGCUCCGCACGGGGUCCCCCCGUUUUCCCCAGCCGCCCCCAGCCCAGGUGCCCCCCCAGUGGGGAUGGAGGGACGGGAAAACGCCGUUGUCUCGCCGGGAGAGGCACAGCCAAGGCUCUCCAGCCGCCCGGGAGGAGCAGCACGGGGAACGGGGCGAAAAAGGCUGUUUUGGGGAGCUUUUCGCUACGCUGCACUCGUGCAUCGCUGUCCGGGCUGCUCCCCGAAAUUGCUGCCCCCCCCUACAAUUUAGGCCAGCCCUAAAUGUGAGCGAGAGGGCAGGGAAAGAGCCGUCCCCAAAUACAAGUGCGAGUUUUCGCUGCCGAGCGGCCAGAGCCGGGCUGAGCACCGUCGGCUGCGCGGGGGCAAUUAGCAGGAAAAUGAGGGAGAUGCUAAAGUCCCUAAUUCCCGUCAUUACCAAUAAUUUUCGUGAAAAGAUUUUUUUUUUCCCUCUCUCUCUCUCUCUCCCUGACGCUUUCCAGUCUAUUUUUUAA